AAUCCUCUUCUUCUUCCAUGUCAAGCCACCGAAAUCUUCCUUUACCUAACUGACAGUGGUUCCUCUUUCCUUCGCGAAAUAUCGAUUCAGGAGAUCCAUCAGUAGCCUCUCUCCUGAAACGAAUAGGCUCGAGCGCCUGCCGCUGCCCUAGAACUGUGGCCACGAUGAAGCUUCAUUUUGGUCACCCAAGAUCCCAAAUCUGAUGCAGGCGGGUAGUGAUAGACUUGCUGCUUCGAACCGUUCCCCACGAAGCGGAGAA